CUUGAUGGUGGCUGUGCGCAGGGCACCUUCGGGUGCGCCGGCUUUCGUUUGGAUUCCCCGGUCUACUAACCUGCGCACAGCUGCCACCCUU
rnacentral:antisense_RNA from 1 species